rnacentral:rRNA from 1 species
GAUCCUGGCUCAGGACGAACGCUGGCGGCGUGCCUAAUACAUGCAAGUCGAGCGAAGUUUUUCUGGUGCUUGCACUAGAAAAACUUAGCGGCGAACGGGUGAGUAACACGUAAAGAACCUGCCUCAUAGACGGGGACAACUAUUGGAAACGAUAGCUAAUACCGGAUAACAGCAUAAAUCGCAUGAUAUAUGUUUAAAAGUUGGUUUUCGGCUAACACUAUGAGAUGGCUUUGCGGUGCAUUAG